AACGAACGCUGGCGGCAUGCCUAACACAUGCAAGUCGAACGAACCCUUCGGGGUUAGUGGCGCACGGGUGCGUAACGCGUGGGAAUCUGCCCUUUGGUUCGGAAUAACUCAGGGAAACUUGAGCUAAUACCGGAUGAUGACUUCGGUCCAAAGAUUUAUCGCCAAAGGAUGAGCCCGCGUAGGAUUAGCUAGUUGGUGGGGUAAUGGCCACCAAGGCGACGAUCCUUAGCUGGUCUGAGAGGAUGAUCAGCCACACUGGGACUGAGACACGGCCCAGACUCCUACGGGAGGCAGCAGUGGGGAAUAUUGGACAAUGGGCGAAAGCCUGAUCCAGCAAUGCCGCGUGAGUGAUGAAGGCCUUAGGGUUGUAAAGCUC
rnacentral:rRNA from 1 species